AACACACUCCCUAGAUUCACCCUUGGGGCUUUCGUAUGACUGUACUGUUGAACAGGCCAAGUAUUGUAUUAUUCAGCAACUUUGUUUGUUGUACGUGGAGGGUGAUUGAGUCGUUGGCGUGUGAUAAAAGUACACUUUAGAUCAGGGUCCAAUACCAGCACACU